CCUACGGGAGGCAGCAGUGAGGAAUAUUGGUCAAUGGACGAGAGUCUGAACCAGCCAAGUAGCGUGAAGGAUGACUGCCCUCUGGGUUGUAAACUUCUUUUAUAUGGGAAUAAAAUGUUCCACGUGUGGGAUUUUGUCUGUACCAUAUGAAUAAGGAUCGGCUAACUCAGUGCCAGCAGCCGCGGUAAUACGGAGGAUCCGAGCGUUAUCCGGAUUUAUUGGGUUUAAAGGGAGCGUAGGUGGAUUGUUAAGUCAGUUGUGAAAGUUUGCGGCUCAACCGUAAAAUUGCAGUUGAAACUGGCAGUCUUGAGUACAGUAGAGGUGGGCGGAAUUCGUGGUGUAGCGGUGAAAUGCUUAGAUAUCACGAAGAACUCCGAUUGCGAAGGCAGCUCACUGGACUGCAACUGACACUGAGGCUCGAAAGUGUGGGUAGCAAACAGGAUUAGAUACCCGAGUAGUC
rnacentral:rRNA from 1 species